CCUACGGGGCAGCAGUGGGGAAUAUUGGACAAUGGGGGCAACCCUGAUCCAGCCAUGCCGCGUGUGUGAAGAAGGCCCUCGGGUUGUAAAGCACUUUCAGUGAGGAAGAACGCCUGGUGGUUAAUACCCAUCAGGAAAGACAUCACUCACAGAAGAAGCACCGGCUAACUCCGUGCCAGCAGCCGCGGUAAUACGGAGGGUGCGAGCGUUAAUCGGAAUUACUGGGCGUAAAGCGCGCGUAGGUGGCUUGAUAAGCCGGUUGUGAAAGCCCCGGGCUCAACCUGGGAACGGCAUCCGGAACUGUCAAGCUAGAGUGCAGGAGAGGAAGGUAGAAUUCCCGGUGUAGCGGUGAAAUGCGUAGAGAUCGGGAGGAAUACCAGUGGCGAAGGCGGCCUUCUGGACUGACACUGACACUGAGGUGCGAAAGCGUGGGUAGCAAACAGGAUUAGAUACCCCUGUAGUC
rnacentral:rRNA from 1 species